rnacentral:rRNA from 1 species
AGAGUUUGAUCAUGGCUCAGAUUGAACGCUGGCGGCAGGCCUAACACAUGCAAGUCGAACGGUAACAGGAAGCAGCUUGCUGCUUCGCUGACGAGUGGCGGACGGGUGAGUAAUGUCUGGGAAGCUGCCUGAUGGGGGGGGAUAACUACUGGAAACGGUAGCUAAUACCGCAUAAUGUCGCAAGACCAAAGAGGGGGACCUUCGGGCCUCUUGCCAUCGGAUGUGCCCAGAUGGGAUUAGCUUGUUGGUGGGGUAACGGCUCACCAAGGCGACGAUCCCUAGCUGGUCUGAGAGGAUGACCAGCCACACUGGAACUGAGACACGGUCCAGACUCCUACGGGAGGCAGCAGUGGGGAAUAUUGCACAAUGGGCGCAAGCCUGAUGCAGCCAUGCCGCGUGUAUGAAGAAGGCCUUCGGGUUGUAAAGUACUUUCAGCGGGGAGGAAGGGAGUAAAGUUAAUACCUUUGCUCAUUGACGUUACCCGCAGAAGAAGCACCGGCUAACUCCGUGCCAGCAGCCGCGGUAAUACGGAGGGUGCAAGCGUUAAUCGGAAUUACUGGGCGUAAAGCGCACGCAGGCGGUUUGUUAAGUCAGAUGUGAAAUCCCCGGGCUCAACCUGGGAACUGCAUCUGAUACUGGCAAGCUUGAGUCUCGUAGAGGGGGGUAGAAUUCCAGGUGUAGCGGUGAAAUGCGUAGAGAUCUGGAGGAAUACCGGUGGCGAAGGCGGCCCCCUGGACGAAGACUGACGCUCAGGUGCGAAAGCGUGGGGAGCAAACAGGAUUAGAUACCCUGGUAGUCCACGCCGUAAACGAUGUCGACUUGGAGGUUGUGCCCUUGAGGCGUGGCUUCCGGAGCUAACGCGUUAAGUCGACCGCCUGGGGAGUACGGCCGCAAGGUUAAAACUCAAAUGAAUUGACGGGGGCCCGCACAAGCGGUGGAGCAUGUGGUUUAAUUCGAUGCAACGCGAAGAACCUUACCUGGUCUUGACAUCCACGGAAGUUUUCAGAGAUGAGAAUGUGCCUUCGGGAACCGUGAGACAGGUGCUACAUGGCUGUCGUCAGCUCGUGUUGUGAAAUGUUGGGUUAAGUCCCGCAACGAGCGCAACCCUUAUCCUUUGUUGCCAGCGGUCCGGCCGGGAACUCAAAGGAGACUGCCAGUGAUAAACUGGAGGAAGGUGGGGAUGACGUCAAGUCAUCAUGGCCCUUACGACCAGGGCUACACACGUGCUACAAUGGCGCAUACAAAGAGAAGCGACCUCGCGAGAGCAAGCGGACCUCAUAAAGUGCGUCGUAGUCCGGAUUGGAGUCUGCAACUCGACUCCAUGAAGUCGGAAUCGCUAGUAAUCGUGGAUCAGAAUGCCACGGUGAAUACGUUCCCGGGCCUUGUACACACCGCCCGUCACACCAUGGGAGUGGGUUGCAAAAGAAGUAGGUAGCUUAACCUUCGGGAGGGCGCUUACCACUUUGUGAUUCAUGACUGGGGUGAAGUCGAAACAAGGUAACCGUAGGGGAACCUGCGGUUG